rnacentral:rRNA from 1 species
UACGGGGGGGGCAAGCGUUGUUCGGAAUUACUGGGCGUAAAGGGCUCGUAGGCGGCCAACUAAGUCAGACGUGAAAUCCCUCGGCUUAACCGGGGAACUGCAUCUGAUACUGGAUGGCUUGAGAUUGGGAGAGGGAUGCGGAAUUCCAGGUGUAGCGGUGAAAUGCGUAGAUAUCUGGAGGAACACCGGUGGCGAAGGUGGCAUCCUGGACCAACACUGACGCUGAGGAGCGAAAGCCAGGGGAGCAAACGGG